rnacentral:rRNA from 1 species
GAUGAACGCUGGCGGCGUGCCUAAUACAUGCAAGUCGAGCGAAUGGAUUAAGAGCUUGCUCUUAUGAAGUUAGCGGCGGACGGGUGAGUAACACGUGGGUAACCUGCCCAUAAGACUGGGAUAACUCCGGGAAACCGGGGCUAAUACCGGAUAACAUUUUGAACCGCAUGGUUCGAAAUUGAAAGGCGGCUUCGGCUGUCACUUAUGGAUGGACCCGCGUCGCAUUAGCUCGUUGGUGAGGUAACGGCUCACCACGGCAACGAUGCGUAGCCGACCUGAGAGGGUGAUCGGACACACUGGGACUGGGACACGGCCCAGACUCCUACGGGAGGCAGCAGUAGGGAAUCUUCCGCAAUGGACGAAAGGCUGACGGAGCAACGACGCGUGGGUGAUGAAGGCUUUCGGGUCGUAAAACUCUGUUGUUAGGGAAGAACAAGUGCUAGUUGAAUAAGCUGGCACCUUGACGGUACCUAACCAGAAAGCCACGGCUAACUACGUGCCAGCCGCCGCCGUAA